rnacentral:ncRNA from 1 species
GAACAGGCAAUGAGGGAGCGAGUAGCGUUUUACAGGAUUGUGCAGAGAGCCGGUGGUUGCUGCGAACCGGUCAGUCCCAAGACGUGAAAUACACUCCGGAGCCGCUUGGAGGCAAUGCCAAGCCGGUCACGCGCGUGGCCGUUAUUGCAAUGAAGGAGCUUGCGUUUGUGGCAGGCUGCUUAGGGUGGUACCGCGAGUUCGAACCUCGUCCCUAUU